AUGACAUGGCUUCAUUGCAGCAGGUUUUGGAUAGUAUUGCAAGAUGUUUUCGCAGGGAUAUUUUUUUCUGGUUUUGACUAUGGUGAUAGAAGGUUUUAUGGUAGGCUGGACAAAGGGUGUAAAACGUUUUGGUUUGUGUUGAGAACAAGUAUGUAUAUGAGCAACAACGCUGGUUUUGGCUAUAGCAGAAUUUGGAAGUGUUUGGCAUGUCUUUAUGAUGCAAGGUUUGAAGUAACAAAAUGGAGAAGGCCUGAAGAACAAGCUUAA